rnacentral:rRNA from 1 species
GACGUAGGGCGCGAGCGUUGUCCGGAUUUAUUGGGCGUAAAGAGCUCGUAGGCGGCUUGUCGCGUCGUCCGUGAAAACUCGGGGCUCAACCCCGAUCUUGCGGUCGAUACGGGCAGGCUAGAGUUCGGUAGGGGAGACUGGAAUUCCUGGUGUAGCGGUGAAAUGCGCAGAUAUCAGGAGGAACACCGGUGGCGAAGGCGGGUCUCUGGGCCGAUACUGACGCUGAGGAGCGAAAGCGUGGGGAGCGAACAGG